AGUGAACGCUGGCGGCAGGCCUAACACAUGCAAGUCGAGCGGCAGCGCGGGGGCAACCCUGGCGGCGAGCGGCGGACGGGUGAGGAAUACAUCGGAAUCUACCCAGUCGUGGGGGAUAACGUAGGGAAACUUACGCUAAUACCGCAUACGACCUGAGGGUGAAAGCAGGGGACCGCAAGGCCUUGCGCGAUUGGAUGAGCCGAUGUCCGAUUAGCUAGUUGGUGAGGUAAAGGCUCACCAAGGCGACGAUCGGUAGCUGGUCUGAGAGGAUGAUCAGCCACACUGGAACUGGGACACGGUCCAGACUCCUACGGGAGGCAGCAGUGGGGAAUAUUGGACAAUGGGCGCAAGCCUGAUCCAGCCAUGCCGCGUGUGUGAAGAAGGCCUUCGGGUUGUAAAGCACUUUUGUUCGGGAGGAAAUCUUCCGACCUAAUACGUCGGGAGGAUGACGGUACCGAAAGAAUAAGCACCGGCUAACUUCGUGCCAGCAGCCGCCGUAACAC
rnacentral:rRNA from 1 species